CCUACGGGGGGCAGCAGUGGGGAAUAUUGGACAAUGGGGGCAACCCUGACCCAGCCAUGCCGCGUGUGUGAAGAAGGCCCUCGGGUUGUAAAGCACUUUCAGUGAGGAAGAACGCCUGGUGGUUAAUACCCAUCAGGAAAGACAUCACUCACAGAAGAAGCACCGGCUAACUCCGUGCCAGCAGCCGCGGUAAUACGGAGGGUGCGAGCGUUAAUCGGAAUUACUGGGCGUAAAGCGCGCGUAGGUGGCUUGAUAAGCCGGUUGUGAAAGCCCCGGGCUCAACCUGGGAACGGCAUCCGGAACUGUCAAGCUAGAGUGCAGGAGAGGAAGGUAGAAUUCCCGGUGUAGCGGUGAAAUGCGUAGAGAUCGGGAGGAAUACCAGUGGCGAAGGCGGCCUUCUGGACUGACACUGACACUGAGGUGCGAAAGCGUGGGUAGCAAACAGGAUUAGAUACCCGAGUAGUC
rnacentral:rRNA from 1 species